AGGUGGGAGGCUUUGAAACCAGGACGCCAGUUUUGGCGGAGCCAUCCUUGGGAUACCACCCUUGUAGUACUGGGACUCUAACCAUAGGCCAUGAAUCUGGUCUUGGGACACUGUCAGGUGGGCAGUUGGACUGGGGCGGUCGCCUCCCAAAAGGUAACGGAGGCGCUCAAAGGUUCUCUCAGUACGGUCGGAAAUCGUACGUAGAGUGUAAAGGCAAAAGAG
rnacentral:rRNA from 1 species